AGAAUUCAAGGUCCCAAAGACCCAUAUCAUACGACGAUAUCAACACAAUAUAAAAAGUUUUGACACCACAACAUAUAAAUAAACUCUAUAUACCAAUCACCUAACCGCGGGCCUUGAGCUCAGCAAGACGGCGAGACAGAUCAUCCUCAUCCACCUUCUCCUUCUCCCGCGCUGGAAUCGCAUGCGCCGAUGCCUGCGGCAGGUCAACCGACACCUCCAGCCCGUGCUGAUCCGCCACCUGCUGCAUCAGCAAAUUCACCUCACCUUCCGGCGUCGACAGGCUCGUAGAUCCCGCCAUCGCCCCCUCCAUGAACUCCGCCUGCACCUCCAUGUUCACAAACUGUUUCUCAAACUGAUCCAUGGUCUCUGACAUGCGCUGGAGGUUCCCGGUGGCGAGGGAGGAUUCAAGGGACUUGACGAUGGAUCCCAUGUUCUUGCCGAUGGAUUGCAUCUUGGCCUGGGUGUCGAGACGGGCGACGACGGCGUCGAGGCGGGAGGAGAGGCGGAGGUAGUUCAUCUGCUCGCUGCGCUUGCGG
rnacentral:misc_RNA from 1 species